AAUAAAAAAAUGUAGGUAAGGGAAGUAGGAAAAACGAAUCCGUAACUUCGAAAAAAAGAUUGGCUCUCAGGGUUGGGCCUAAGGGUCUGCAUCCUCAACCAGUGGGUUUUCGUUAUAUUUCCUAAUAUUCUAUCAUGGAGAGGGAGGGCGGUCUCGUGUCGAUUGGGCUACGGACGUAUAAUGUCCCCUCAUGAGGGAUUUUCCCUAGGAUGCUAACAAACAACUCAUAAUUGGUAAGGACAAGGGGAAUUUAACUAUUUAACUAAAAAAAAGCAUUGUGAUGGUCCCUAUGGAUGAUGAUUCAAUAUGAUUUAUGCCCAUUGCACUGAAUGUCAAAGCGAAUAAAUUCGACCAAGCGUUGGUAAACGAAGAGAGUAACUAUGACUCUUUGAAGGUAUCCAAAUUCCUUGUCAUCUAAUUAGUGACACGCAUGAAUCGAUUAAUGAUAUUCCUAUUGUCCCUAUAUACUAUCUAGCGAAACCACAACCAAGGAAAUAGGAUUGGAACAAUCAGUGGGGAAAGAAGACCUUGUUGAGCUUAACUCUAGUUUGACUUUGUGAAAUGACUUGAGAGGUGUAGAAUAAGUAGGAAUCGUUUUUGGCGCAAGUGAAAUACCACUACUUUGAACAUUAUUUUACUUUUUCCAUGGGGCAGAGAUGGGGCAUCACCCUUGUUUUUGUUCUUAAGACAUGUUUCAGCAGGUUAAUCUGGGUGGAAGACAUUUUUAGGUGGGAAGUUUGGUUGGGGAGGCACAUCUGUUAAAAGAUAACACAUGUGUCCUAAUAUGAGCUCAAUGAGAACAGAAAUAUCGUGUGGAACAAAAGGGUAAAAUCUCAUUUGAUUUUUAUUUUCAUUAUGAACAAAAAUCAUGAAAGCAUGGCGUAUUGAUCCUUUAGACUUUCGAAAUUUGAAUCUAGAGGUGUCAAAAAAGUUACCACGAGGAUAAAUGGCUUGUGGCAGCCAAUCGUUCAUAGUGACAUUGCUUUUUAUCCUUCGAUGUUGGUUCUUCCUAUCAUUGUGAAGAAAAAUUCACCAAGUGUUGAAUUGUUCGCCCACCAAUAGGGAAUGUGAGUUGGGUUUAGACCGUCAUGAGAUAGGUUAGUUUUACCCUAAUGAUGAACUGUACCACAAUAGUAAUUCAACUUUGUACAAGAGGAACUGUUGAUUCACACAAUUGGUCAUCACGCUUGGUUGAAAAUCCAGUGGCAUGAAGCUAUCGUGUGUCGGAUUAUGACUGAAUGCCUUAAGUCAGAUUCCAUGCUAGAAGCAGCGCUUGUCAUUCCUCGAUCGUAUCUUGACCCACAGUAUGGGUGUCACUUUAGCACCCCUAGGGGCCCAUAUCACUUGUGAACCUCGGUCGGGAAGCAUCUCGGUCAGAGUAACUUUGAAGUUCAAUUUCAAAUGGUCGUUGAGAAAAAUCCUUUGCAGACAACUUAAAUAUGUGAUGGGGUAUUGUAAGUGGUUGAAUGGCCUUGUUGCCAUGAUCCACUGAGAUUCAACCUUUCAUCACCUAGAUUC
rnacentral:ncRNA from 1 species